rnacentral:rRNA from 1 species
UGCAAGUCGAGCGAUUCUCUUCGGAGAAGAGCGGCGGACGGGUGAGUAACGCGUGGGUAACCUGCCCUAUACACACGGAUAACAUACCGAAAGGUAUGCUAAUACGAGAUGAUAUAAGAAAUUCGCAUGUUUUUCUUAUCAAAGCUUUUGCGGUAUAGGAUGGACCCGCGUCUGAUUAGCUAGUUGGUAAGGUAAUGGCUUACCAAGGCUUCGAUCAGUAGCCGACCUGAGAGGGUGAUCGGCCACAUUGGAACUGAGACACGGUCCAAACUCC